rnacentral:piRNA from 1 species
UGUGGACUUCUGAUGUUUUUGAAAACCAACU